CUGCACUUGACUGUCCAAUAUGUAUGUCUGCAUUUGAAGAACCGAUGUCUACGAGGUGUGGUCAUAUCUUUUGUAGGUGUUGCAUUAACACUGCAAUAGCUGCACAGGGUAAAUGCCCUACCUGCAGAAAGAAGGUUACAAAGAAUCAACUCAUAAGGGUGUUUCUUCCAUCUCUUAGUUAAAGGAGAUCUCUGUGGCCAAGUCUAAUUGAGGAGAAUCACAAAUACAAAAAUGUAAUCUCCAGAUUUUUUAGUGGCUGCUUUAUAUUUGUUGUGGCA
rnacentral:sRNA from 1 species